rnacentral:rRNA from 1 species
AACGAACGCUGGCGGCAUGCUUUACACAUGCAAGUCGAACGGCAGCGGGGGCUUCGGCCCGCCGGCGAGUGGCGAACGGGUGAGUAAUGCAUCGGAACGUGCCCAGUCGUGGGGGAUAACACAUCGAAAGAUGUGCUAAUACCGCAUACGUCCUGAGGGAGAAAGCGGGGGAUCUUCGGACCUCGCGCGAUUGGAGCGGCCGAUGUCGGAUUAGCUAGUUGGUGGGGUAAAAGCCCACCAAGGCGACGAUCCGUAGCGGGUCUGAGAGGAUGAUCCGCCACACUGGGACUGAGACACGGCCCAGACUCCUACGGGAGGCAGCAGUGGGGAAUAUUGGUCAAUGGACGGAAGUCUGAACCAGCCAUGCCGCGUGAAGGAUGAAGGCGUUCUGCGUUGUAAACUUCUUUUAUCUGGGAAGAAACCACAGAUUUCUAUUUGUGUUGACGGUACCAGAAGAAUAAGCACCGGCUAACUCCGUGCCAGCAGCCGCGGUAAUUACG